rnacentral:tRNA from 1 species
UCCCUGAUGGCUCAGUGGUAAAGAAUCUACCUGCAAUGCAGGAGACGUAGGUUCAAUUCCUGGUCCAGGAA